rnacentral:rRNA from 1 species
GAUGAACGCUAGCGGCAGGCCUAACACAUGCAAGGUCGAGGGGCAUCGCGGUGCAGCAAUGCACUGGCGGCGACCGGGUACGGGUGCGUAACGCGUAUGCAACCUGCCCCGCACCGGGGGAUAGCCCGCCGAAAGGCGGAUUAAUACCCCAUGGUCCCGGGGGCCCGCAUGGGCAUCCGGGUAAAGCCUUGGCGGUGCGGGAUGGGCAUGCGUGCCAUUAGCUGGCUGGUGGGGUAACGGCCCACCAGGGCAACGAUGGCUAGGGGGUCUGAGAGGAUGGUCCCCCACACUGGUACUGAGACACGGACCAGACUCCUACGGGAGGCAGCAGUGAGGAAUAUUGGUCAAUGGGCGGAAGCCUGAACCAGCCAUGCCGCGUGCGGGAUGAAGGCCCUACGGGUUGUAAACCGCUUUUCCCCGGGAAGAAUAACCCCGAUGAGUCGGGGGAUGCCGGUACCGGGGGAAUAAGGAUCGGCUAACUCCGUG